GGUAAUUAAAGCUAUGAUGUAAUCCAUUUAUCUGUUGUAGUGAAUGGUUGUUAUGAAGAGCUCCCCAGACCUGGGAAAGUCCCUGAGAUUGUGGCAGCACGCUUCAAGAUGGUUGAGUUAUCAAAAGGUAGAGGUGUCUACUUAUACGAGGAUCACAUAAACACAGCCAAGAGUAAAAACAGCCCAACUUCAGCAGCAUGUUUCCUGCUCAGCUGCUUUUAUAAAAAUUCUGAGCUAGUGGGAAAGAAUCUGACCAGAGCAAAUGCCAGAGAGGGCUUAAAUGCUGAUAUUGUUUCCUCAAUUUUGGAUUUUGUGGUAAAGCAAGAGGGGAAGGCCUCUACAAUCAAGCAAGCCCUGAGAAAUAAAAUUAGUUCUCUAACCACAAGGGCAAGUGGUUGGCAACCUGCCAGGAAAGUAAACAAUUGAAUCGAUUGAAUUAAGAUUAA